CCCAGUCCCAGGCCCUAUAUUUCCAUCCCUAUUCAACAAUUCCAAUUGCUCCCAUCUCUCCGAAACCAGUAUUACCGAUUUCAGAAUAAAGACGUUGCCUUUUUUGCCUUUGAAAUCUCUUUUUCUUGAAGCUUUGUUUCCGCCCCCAUGACUCCUUACGACCGAAGAUACGGCGACCCCCAAUCUUACCGUCAGCGUAGCAGUGAUUUUAUCGGCCAACCACCUCCGGUAGGCCCACCACCUAUGGGUCCGGGAAUGGUCCUAUCUGCUGGUGCUACCUCUUAUCCCCGUGGUGGACACAUUUCUUACGGUGGCCCUCCAACGGUGCAGCCGCCGACUUUUCAGGGAAGAGUGCCCGUAGCCAUCCCAGAUCAAGGGAAUUUCGAUACGUACUCGAGCAUCCAACCACCUGCAGGAAGAUUCGAGAUGGGCCGCGGUGGGGGUAUAGGUAAUGCUCAUGUUGGAGACAGGAGAAGUAAUGGGGCAAGAGGUCGUGAAGCUGCUCGUGGUGUUGGCGGCAGAGGUGGUGGUGGUCGUGGUGGCCGUGGUGAUGGCGGGAGGGGUUAUGGAGGGAGGCAAGGAGGGUGGUCUAGAGGAGAUUUAGAUCAUGUUUCGCUUUCGAGGCAAAAUUUUGGAAAUUUGGUUCCUUUUGAGAAGAACUUUUAUAUGGAGAGUGCUGCAGUUAGAGGAAUGACAGAGCAAGAAGCUAUGGUUUACCGUAGAACACGGGAAAUUACAGUUCAAGGACAUGAUGUUCCAAAACCGAUAAGGAUGUUCCAUGAAGCCAAUUUCCCUGAUUACUGCCUUGAGGUGAUUGCUAAAUUGGGUUUUGUUGAGCCUACGCCAAUCCAGGCUCAAGGGUGGCCUAUGGCUUUAAAGGGUAGGGAUCUAAUUGGUAUUGCUGAGACUGGUUCUGGUAAAACGCUGGCAUAUUUACUGCCAGCAUUGGUGCAUAUUAAUGCGCAGCCACGAUUAGUGUAUGGUGAGGGUCCUAUUGUAUUAAUAUUAGCACCUACAAGAGAGUUGGCUGUUCAAAUUCAAGAAGAAGCUGCAAAGUUUGCAACUCGUGCUAAUAUUAGAAGUACUUGUAUCUAUGGUGGUGCCCCCAAAGGACCACAAAUUCGGGAUCUUAAAAGAGGUGUUGAGAUUGUAAUUGCUACACCUGGUCGACUGAUAGAUAUGCUAGAAGCUCAACACACAAACUUGCAAAGAGUGACUUACCUUGUUCUGGAUGAGGCUGAUCGAAUGUUGGAUAUGGGGUUUGAGCCUCAAAUAAGAAAAAUUGUUGCUCAGAUUCGGCCUGAUAGACAAACGUUGUAUUGGAGUGCAACAUGGCCAAGGGAGGUUGAAUCUUUAGCGAGGCAGUUUUUACGCAACUCAUAUAAGGUUAUCAUUGGAUCACCUGAUCUGAAAGCAAACCAGUCUAUUAACCAAGUUGUUGAAGUCAUAACAGAGCUGGAAAAGUACAACAGGCUAAUCAAAUUGCUGAAGGAAGAGAUGGAUGGGAAUCGAAUACUCAUAUUCAUGGAGACAAAGAAGGGAUGUGACCAAGUUACUAGGCAGCUGAGAAUGGAUGGAUGGCCUGCCCUGUCUAUCCAUGGUGAUAAAAACCAGACUGAAAGGGAUUGGGUCCUGGCUGAAUUUAAGAGUGGCAGAAGUCCUAUAAUGACUGCCACUGAUGUGGCUGCACGAGGUCUUGGUAGGAUCACUGUGUGUUAGGAGUCUUAGUAUAUUCAUUUAGGUCUUGAAUCGUGAAGAUAAGCGAGUCUGCCGGCUGCUUUCCAGUUUCCUGAUGGCUUGGGUGCAAAGGAGGUGUCAUGAUGUGCAUUACAAAUCUGUGAACAUAUAUUUUCUAACUGAUAAGCAUGAUCCUCCACUUCAAGGGAAUUAUGAGUUGGAUUGAGAGGCAUACUGGUUUCUCAUAUUCACUAGAUGUCCCCUAAGAUAAUUGGCUACUAUCUUAUGCUUACAGCUCAUGUUACAGGGACACAAGGAGCAUAGUUUGCUUAGACAGCUAAGGUGGUGAUCUAUAAUUUGGAGGGUUGUACCAUGCAAAACUCAUGCUUCUCUGUUCCUUUGUUUGAAAAGUUAGUUUUAUUUAUUUUAGGUUGGGGGAAAAGAAAAAUUAGAAAGCUCUCUUAUGUGUAGUUGUAUUUACCUGCUUGAAUUGCCUGAAUUGGCAUGGCCCCUUUAGUCAAGUGUCUAAGUAACAUGGUUGAACUUGAAGUUAGUUUUGCCCAUCCACAGUUAUGGAGCUGGUUUAUUGUGGUGGCCUGGUUGACUCACAUUUGCUUAGAUUCCUUGAUUGGAUUCGGAAAUGGUGGUGGUAAAGCAGCUCCUUAUCCCUGCAAGGUUAAGAUGUGAAGGACAUAAAGUGUGUGAUCAACUAUGAUUUUCCUUCCAGCCUGGAGGAUUAUGUACAUAGGAUUGGUAGAACUGGUCGUGCAGGGGCUAAGGG